rnacentral:rRNA from 1 species
GCGCCAUUGUGUGACGGUACCUGACGAAUAAGCACCGGCUAACUCCGUGCCAGCAGCCGCGGUAAUACGGAGGGUGCAAGCGUUGUCCGGAUUUAUUGGGUUUAAAGGGUGCGUAGGUGGUUUUCUAAGUCUGGUUUGAAAGCUGGUCGCUUAACUAUCAGAUGUGGCUGGAAACUGGAGGACUUGAAUGCGUUGGCGGUA